CCUACGUGCGACAGCAGUGAGGAAUAUUGGUCAAUGGGCGGAAGCCUGAACCAGCCAAGUCGCGUGAGGGAAUAAGGCCCUAAGGGUCGUAAACCUCUUUUGCCGGGGAGCAAGGGCGGGGACGUGUCCCGGCCCGGAGAGUACCCGGCGAAAAAGCAUCGGCUAACUCCGGGCCAGACGCCGCGGUAAUACGGAGAAUGCGAGCGGUAUCCGGAGUGAGUUGGUUUAAAGGUGGCGGAGGCGGGCUUUUAAGUCAGCGGUAAAAAUUCGGGGCUAAACCCCGUCCGGCCGUGGAAACUGGGGGCCUUGAGUGGGCGAGAAGAAGGCGGAAUGCGUGGUGUAGCGGUGAAAUGCAUAGAUAUCACGCAGAACCCCGAUUGCGAAGGCAGCCUUCCGGCGCCCUACUGACGCUGAGGCACGAAAGUGCGGGGAUCGAACAGGAUUAGAUACCCCUGUAGUUC
rnacentral:rRNA from 1 species